rnacentral:rRNA from 1 species
CCUUUGACGUUAGCGGCGGACGGGUGAGUAACACGUGGGUAACCUACCUAUAAGACUGGGAUAACUUCGGGAAACCGGAGCUAAUACCGGAUAAUAUUUCGAACCGCAUGGUUCGAUAGUGAAAGGUGGUUUUGCUAUCACUUAUAGAUGGACCCGCGCCGUAUUAGCUAGUUGGUAAGGUAACGGCUUACCAAGGCGACGAUACGUAGCCGACCUGAGAGGGUGAUCGGCCACACUGGAACUGAGACACGGUCCAGACUCCUACGGGAGGGCAGCAGCA